CAGGGCGGUGAGGUUCUACACAUCGUGUUUUGGGUUCAGGCAACCCUUCAAGGUUCUCUGCGACGGGACAUUUGUGCAUAACCUUAUAGUAAAUCGCGUUGCACCCGCCGAUAAAGCUCUGUCUAACAUCCUUGGUGGCUCCGUCAAGCUCUUCACAACAAGAUGUGUUCUCGAGGAGCUCAAAAGACUUGGUAGUGCCUAUUCUGAAUCUCUUCAGGCAGCUCACAAACUCAUGAUUGCAAGAUGUGAUCAUGAGGAUAAAAAGAGUGCGGAAGCUUGCAUUGCGGAGAUUAUUGGAGAGAAUAACCCCGAGCAUUUUUUUGUUGCUACCCAGGACUUUGGUUUGAGGAAGAAGUUUAGGGAGGUACCAGGUGUCCCUCUCAUAUUUGGUCUAAGAAAUGCUCUCUUCCUUGAGCCGCCAUCUGCAUUUCAACAUGAGUUUGUCAAAACUUCUGAAGAACAACGCUUACAUGCAACUGAGUUAGAAUAUAAAAUGUUGAAAAAUAGGACCAAGAGUACAUCAACAAAUGAGGAAUCUGGACAUUCUUCUGAUGAAAAUAAAGGUCCAAGAGAAAUGCAGCCUGUUAAAAAGGACAGUGCAAGAAGGAGAAUGGAUGGUAAGGAUAGACCUCAAUUUAAAAGAAAGAAAGCGAAGGCACCAAAUCCACUUUCAUGCAAGAAGAAAAAGAAGGAUGUAAACCCUAAGCCUUCAUCAGACAAGGAAAGUAAUGCUGGCAACAAUGCUACGAGAAGUACGAGCAGGAAAAGAAAGAGAUCACGUAAAAGCAAAAAUCUCACAGAGAUGGACAGCAAAUAGACUACUCGGGCAAAUUAGUGGUGCUUCAAAGUUGGGUUUGCAAUGAAGUAAACAUUCAUUAGA
rnacentral:misc_RNA from 1 species